rnacentral:rRNA from 1 species
AUUGAACGCUGGCGGCAUGCUUUACACAUGCAAGUCGAACGGCAGCGCGGGCUUCGGCCUGGCGGCGAGUGGCGAACGGGUGAGUAAUGCAUCGGAACGUGCCCAGUAGUGGGGGAUAGCCCGGCGAAAGCCGGAUUAAUACCGCAUACGACCUGAGGGUGAAAGCGGGGGACCGAAAGGCCUCGCGCUAUUGGAGCGGCCGAUGUCGGAUUAGCUAGUUGGUGGGGUAAAGGCUUACCAAGGCGACGAUCCGUAGCUGGUCUGAGAGGACGACCAGCCACCCGGGGACGAGGACACGCCCCAAACCCCGACGGGAGGCAGGGGGGGGAAAUUUUGGACAGGGGGGGCAACCCUAUCCCGGCCAUGCCGCGGGGGGAAAAAGGGCCUUCGGGUUGUAAACCGCUUUUGUUGGGGAAGAAAUCCUUUGGGUUAAAACCCCGGGGGAAGACGGUAACCGGAAAAAAAAGCACCGGCAAACUAGGG